rnacentral:lncRNA from 1 species
GGAAACUUGGAACAAUGUUGGAGGUUUUGGGUAUUGGAUGAAUGACAAGAAACAUCUUUACUUUUCCUUUAUAUUUUUCCUUUACUUCUUUUAAUUCCACAUGUACUGUGAUACCUUGCUUUCAAUUUAGAAGAAACAUUUUCCAAUUUCUAGAAGCAGUUUACGUCUCUGCAAGGUGUGGUAUUUUCUUUACUUUGAAUGGAUGAGAAUGUGUUGUCACAUCUAGGGCUUGGCUUUGACAUUUUGAGUAGAAAGUUACACUAUUGAAACAUUUAAUUCCAGCCCUUAUUUCCUUCAAUUCANGCUGCUUUCAAUUUCCACUGCCAGGAUGCAUUUGAUUUUAUAUAGCAUUGUUUAUUUAUUUAUUUAUUUAUUUUAAGUGUAUGAAAAUUAGAAUAGUUGGUGUAGUCAUUGCUACGUGAUGAUGGGACUUGGUGCAGGGGCUUAAUUCAAUUAAUGCCUUUCUUUAGUUUUUUUUUUUUAUGAAAUCAAAAGUUAUUUAGGUGAUGGGAUGAGAAUACUGAGAGUUGGAGAGUUGGUAGCUACAUGAAUAGGAUUUAGUUUCUUUUAUUUAAUUGUAAAAGUAGAAGCUAGGUAAGGUAGGUGUAGGUGUUUGAUGCAUGGCCUACAUUAAGGAGAAUGUCAUUUAUUGGUUGGAUGAAGAAGAGUCUUUCGGCUGGAGCAAUUUAAACUUUCAUGCUUGGGAUUUUCAAUUGUUAAAAGUAACAAGAAAUGAGAUGAGAGUGUGUUCGGCGUUUUGGGAAGAGGAACCAGUAUAUUUUCAAUUAGGAGAAUGAAGGUCACGGCUACAACUUCCUUUUUAGGGGCAUUGCAAUUUCAAUUUCACUUUGGUAAAUGCUUUACGUUACUUGCUAGAAAAAAAUUAGGUUGUUUAUUUCUUUUGCUCUAGAAAAUUUUAUAUAAUAUGUUUAGUAGUUUUUCAUCUUGUUAAUUUAGUGUGGGAUGUCAAUCAAUUUAAUUAUAUCUGGAUAUUUGUUUGUUGCAAUGUUGGGUUUAGCAAUUUAUUUUACUUUAAUGUUUUCUAUCUUAUUCGGGUGUAUUUAAUUUCCAUGCAUUUUAAUUUAAUUUAAUUCUCGUUUCAAA